GAGACCCUCAGACAGGUAAACUCACCUGUGAGUGACACUCAGACAGGUAAACUCACCUGUGAGUGACACUCAGACAGGUAAACUCACUGGUGAGUGAAACUCAGACAGGUAAACUCACCUGUGAGUGACCCUCAGACAGGUAAACUCACCUGUGAGUGACACUCAGACAGGUAAACUCACUGGUGAGUGACCCUCAGACAGGUAAACUCACUGGUGAGUGACCCUCAGACAGGUAAACAGGUAAACUCACCUGUGAGACCCUCAGACAGGUAAACUCACCUGUGAAUGACACUCAGACAGGUAAACUCACUGGUGAGUGACCCUCAGACAGGUAAACUCACCUGUGAGUGACACUCAGACAGGUAAACUCACCUGUGAGUGACCCUCAGACAGGUAA